AGUGACAAUAAGGAAGUGUCGUUCCGAGACUGAACGAACUACAGACGUAUUUGUGAGCUGGAGAUACCUUUAUGUGGUUGGAACUACACUGCUGUCGGUGUGUUCAGGUUUUCAUGCUGGUGAACAGAUGGAUUCCUACUGGUGUUGGACUUUGGAGGUUCUACUGCAUGUUGGUGUCAGGCCACACGAUGGGUGAUUUGUUCAAAAAACAAUCCAAGGUGUUUCCCUCAUCUCGCCCAAAGUCAGAUGAGCCCCUCCUUGUGGUCAGUCCAGGAUGAUGCGGGCAUGCGACUGUAGGGGUCCAGCAGGAUCCUGAAGCACCUGACCAGCAGGAAGACCAGGAAGAGCAUAAGGAGGCCCACAAAGGCCAAGGCGGUGCGCUGCUCAGUGUCCACCCCGACCAAGGCCAGAGGCGGGUUGCUGCUGCUGCCACCGCCGCCAGCACCGCCAGGGAGGAAGGAGGAGCCGGCGGGGGACAGCAGCAACUCGUAGUCCAGCGUGGGCCCAUCGCUCAUCCUCCAAGGGGCCCGGAGGCAGGGUUUGCACACCGACUGGAUGGUUGGCGUGUUUGGGGGAGGUGAGGAGAAGGAAGGGAAGGUGUUCAUCAAGCUAUUUGGGUACGCCUCUGUGUUCACAUGUAGGUCAGCCCAAUCUGAGCAUAUGGUCUAUUUUUCAGGGGAACUGCAAAGCCGAUCACCCUCAAGCGAUGAUAUUUUUACAGGUUCUGUGAGCGAUUAGCGUAUGUGAUGCACACACAGUGGAUGAAAUAGAUUGGGACAAAGUUCUCCCUGCGUCUCAGAGAGUACCGACUGGUAAGUGGGUCACAGGCAUCAAGUGUCCACACAAGUUCUUCUCACCAUUUCCCUUUGGGAUGAGCGCCGCCGCCGCCCCCCCUCCCUAUAGAAAGACUAAUGGAGAAGCAGCGAGAGGUAGAAAAAGACACGUGUGAGUCAGUCAGAUGUGCGAAGUUGUCAUUCAUAAAAGGUGACGUCCUCCGCAGACAUGAUGUCGACCACGCGUGUCCUCCCAGGCCCGGCGAUGGAAGUCACGGCAGACGCCUAAAAGACAAAGUUGCAUCCAGUGAGGGAAACUCUCUUCCAGGUGAUGCUCCAUAUUGUCUUUCUUACCAAUACCCCAUACAGUAGCCCCUCCCUCGCCAUUUCACGCAUCCAUUUCGCACCUUCUCUCUAAAUUUCCAAAAUAUAUUCGCAAAUCUAUCAUUACUGUUUCAUGAAAGAAUACGGACUAUUAUUAGUAAAAAAAUAUGCAUAUUUAAGCAAAUUGUACAUAUGUUUUGCCAAAAUUCAGCAUUUUCAUGCAUAAAUAUUAUAAAAAUAAAAUAAUAUAAUAAAUAACAUCUCCU